rnacentral:tRNA from 1 species
GCGGAAAUAGCUCAGCUGGUAGAGCGCAACCUUGCCAAGGUUGAGGUCGCGAGUUCGAAUCUCGUUUUCCGCU